UACGUAGGGUGCGAGCGUUGUCCGGAAUUAUUGGGCGUAAAGAGCUCGUAGGCGGUGUGUCACGUCGAUCGUGAAAACUUACAGCUUAACUGUGAGCGUGCGGUCGAUACGGGGCAUCACUGGAGUUCGGCAGGGGGAGACUGGAAUUCCUGGUGUAGCGGUGAAAUGCGCAGAUAUCAGGAGGAACACCGGUGGCGAAGGCGGGUCUCUGGGCCGAUACUGACGCUGGAGGAGCGAAAGCGUGGGGAGCGAACAGGA
rnacentral:rRNA from 1 species